ACAGCCAUCAUAGAAAGAUGACCACAGAUGAAUCAAAUUCUGAUAUGAUCAUCGACUUGCCUGAUAAUGUUAUAGAUUGCAUCCUCUCUAAACUGCCAAUUAGAGAUGCAGUAAGAACCAGUAUGCUGUCCAAAAAGUGGAGGUAUAGGUGGAUUACACUUCCGUACCUUGUAUUUGCUUAUAAAGCUUUUUUGGGAGGUAAAGGUGAAUUCGAGGAGAAUAAAUUCGUCAAAUUCAUCAAUAAUGUUCUCUUUCUUCAUGAUGGUCCUAUACUUAAGUUUGCUCUUUCAAUCAGUUGCAUGAGGAGCUAUCCGGAAAUGGAUCAAUGGAUAGUUUUCUUAUCAAGGAAAAAUGUUGUGAAUUUCACACUCGAGAAUUGGAAUGGUGAACGGCAUAAAUUACAUUCUCGAUUCUUUUCUCUUCAGAAGCUCACCAACCUGAAACUGCGUAGGUGUAUAAUCAACCCUCCUGCGGAUUUUAGUGGAUUCAAAUGCCUCAGAAGCCUAGAGUUAUAUCGGAUCACUAUUGCAGAUGAUGCACUUGAGAGUUUAAUCUCCAGUUGCCCACUGCUCAAAAAGUUGAAAUUGUAUGGAUUUAACUAUGUUGAUUGUCUCAACAUUCAGGCUCCUCAACUGAAAAAGUUAUAUUUCUCUGGUAAAUGCAAAUCCAUGUGCUUUGGAAAUACCCCACGUUUAGCUGAAUUGGAGAUUCGAUUGAAAAAACUACCUGAAAUUGCUGGACUUUCACUGCAUGAAAAAUCAAUCAAUUUGUAUGAAAAUGCUGGAUUUUUAUCAAGUGUUAAAAGGUUGUGUGUUGGAUAUAAUUUUCUUAAGUUCCUGGCUGCAGGCAGUGUACCAAAGAAGCUUCCAAUUACUUUGAAGAAUCUAAGCUCCAUUGAAUUAUUUGAUUUGCCUUUCGAUGAUUUGGAUGUAGUUUCUUGUACUCUUUUGUUGAUGCAAAGCUCCCGCAAACUACAUGAUCUAAAUAUUAAAGUGAGUUCUGACAUAUAAUAGCUCUUAUUUUAUAUACUAGAUACACCUUGUUAGAUUGAAGAUGGACGGUUGAUCUAAUUUUACACUUGCUGAACUGAUUUGAUUAUCUUCACCAGGCUGACAGCAACUCUUCUGCUGACAUGGAAUCUGUAGUCAGGUUUUUGAUGGAAGAAAACUGCUCAUUUUAUCUCCGGAAGCUCUUAUAUGUAAAGCUAACAUAUAUUUCUGGUGUGAGGCCUGAAAUGGAAUUCAUUAAUUUUAUACUUGUCAAAUCACCUUUGCUCCAGACGAUGAUUGUUGAACCGAAUGAAGAUGAUCCUUUCUACAUUGAAUCAAGGGUGAUGAAGGACUUGAUUCGCUUUGCUCGUGCCUCAAAAACAGCAGAAAUCAUAUACAACACAGCUGAAAUUACGUCUAGAGUUGGAUGAUUUAUCUACUUUUUUGCUUUGAAGGCUGUGAGAGAACUAACUUGAUUUAUCUACCUUUUUUGCUUUGAAGGGUGUCCGUUAGAAUGGGCUCUAGCACAGCAAGGGCUACAGGUUACGUUCCUACAUUUAAAGUUCAUAUUUGCAUUUCCUACUUGAUGGAAAUCUGCAAUUUCACAUUAAUUUACCCAUAGAAGAAGACUUGGUGUAAGCACAUGGUUAGAUUUGCUACUUAAUCUUUCAA
rnacentral:misc_RNA from 1 species